GGAGUCUAGCAUGUGCGCGAGUCUUCGGUGCGAGCGAAGACCGCAGGCUGAAUGAAAGUGAAGGAAGGUCCGCCUUGCGCGCGGACCUAGGGAGGAUGGGCGGCGCCGCGGCGCCGUCCCGCACUCCCGGGGCGUCUCGCGCUCAUCGCGAGCUGAGGCGCACCCAGAGCGUACACGCUGGGACCCGAAAGAUGGUGAACUAUGCCUGGUCAGGACGAAGUCAGGGGAAACCCUGAUGGAGGUCCGUAGCGAUUCUGACGUGCAAAUCGAUCGUCGGAACUGGGUAUAGGGGCGAAAGACUAAUCGAACCAUCUAGUAGCUGGUUCCCUCCGAAGUUUCCCUCAGGAUAGCUGGCGCUCGUCGAACGAGUUUCAUCCGGUAAAGCGAAUGAUUAGAGGCAUUGGGGUCGAAACGGCCUCAACCUAUUCUCAAACUUUAAAUGGGUGAGAUCUCUGGCUUGCUCGAAUACGUAUCGCUGAAGCCACGAGAUAUUGUGCAGAAUCAGAGUGCCAAGUGGGCCAUUUUUGGUAAGCAGAACUGGCGCUGUGGGAUGAACCAAACGUCGGGUUAAAGCGCCCAAAUCGACGCUUAUGGGAUACCAUGAAAGGCGUUGGUAACUUAAGACAGCAGGACGGUGGCCAUGGAA
rnacentral:rRNA from 1 species